UACCUGCAGCUCGAGUGGUAACCGCUAUUAUUGGGCCUAAAGCGUCCGUAGCCGGUUUGGUAAAUAUCUGGGUAAAUCGUGAGGCUUAACUUCACGAAUUUCGGAUAGACUGCCAGACUUGGGAUCGGGGGAGGUCAGAGGUACUCCAGGGGUAGCGGUGAAAUGUUGUAAUCCUUGGAGGACCACCGGUAGCGAAGGCGUCUGACUAGAACGAGUCCGACGGUGAGGGACGAAGCCCUGGGGCGCAAACCGGAUUAGAUACCCGGGUAGUCCAGGGUGUAAACGAUGUGGGCUUUGUAUUGGAGGUCCCACGUGGGCGUCCAGUGCAGAAGAGAAGUUGUUAAGCCCACCGCCUGGGAAGUGCGGUCGCAAGGCUGAAACUUAAAGGAAUUGGCGGGGGAGCACAGCAACGGGAGGAGCGUGCGGUUU
rnacentral:rRNA from 1 species